CGUGGAGUGAAAUGUCUGGAUAAAAGAGAAAAGCAACAUCGUCCAGCCCUACCCAUCCUUAGCAGACACACACAUGAAUCUGCAAGUCCUGGCUCACACUCCCUCCUGAGAGAUCUACCGCCUCGUAGUGAAACUGUGUGUGAACGUUUUCUCUGUGGGCAGAAAGAAACCUGAGGCCUCAGCGAGAGCGUCUUCAAAACACCAACAGUCAACGUCCGGCAGGGUCAGACGAAAUCCCUCAGGAGGAUGAACGCACCGCAACGCGGUGUUAAAAGCCACGGUUGAAAGAACACCGCGAGAGGUUGUGUUUAUAGUAUGGACACAGAAAACAGGUGGAACAACAAAUCAACUUUUUUUCCAACCACAUAUAUUCCUGCUCUACUUUGUGUUGGUCUAUUAAAUGAAACCUCAAAAAAAUGCAUCAAAGCUGGUGGUUGCAGCAUGACAAUGUGUGAAAAAGUUCCCAGGCAGUGUGUU